rnacentral:lncRNA from 1 species
UUCCAAGCAAAGGCGACAGCAUGUGCGAAUAUAAUAAGAUGGGAAACAGCAUGUUAAUUGUUAUUUUCAGCUACUAUUACACCUUAAUAGUUUAAACAACACUGAGGAAAUAGAUGAGUUCCAGAGACGAAACUCAGAACACCUGAACAGAAUCACAUUGUGGCAACUAGGAAAGCAGAUACUGGCUGAAAAACUCACCUGCAAACAUGCUGAGAGUAAUGUUGUGCCAUAUUUGCUUGGCCAUCUGGCAAUAUUUCUGAACUAUGAUGUCAGACCAAGACAAAAAUUUGGCAAGCAAGUUGAGAUGCAAUACUUGUUCUCAAUAAGACCUCAACAUAAAAGCCAAAACAUGGCCACCUGCAGAGGCAAGAUGUACCUCUGACUUCAUAUCUGGUUUAGAUGCCACACAUGUAUCAAGAGGAUAUGAGAAGGUUUAUCACUCACAUAAUGAGACUUUUUAGGAACCCAGGACAACUAACAAGCAGGU